rnacentral:lncRNA from 1 species
AUAAUGAUCCUAUGCUAAUAAAACAAAUUGUUAUACGGAAAAAAGCCCAAGAGAUUGAAAAAAAAUCUCCAUAUAUUCUUUUAUUUCAUUGUAGUGGCUUGACAAGUCGACAAUGGCGACAACUCAAAAAUCUAUUGUGUGCCUUUCGAGGUAGAACUUUAUUUCAACCAAAUUACAAAGGAAAACUACCACAUAAAAACAAGCAAGGUGGUUUUAUUGAGCAGCUUGCUUAUAGCGCAGGUCCCACUUGUAUCUUGUACUUAACUAAAGAAGCACCAGAUAAUACAUGGUCACAGUUAUUACCUUCGGCCUCAUACAACCAAAAUCUAGUUUUAUUAUACGGACAACUUCAAUCUACUUUAGUCAAUCAUAUGGAUAUAAAAAAAGCGGCUAAUUUAGAAAUAACAUCAGUAUUUCAACAACUUUUUGAGCUCAUUUUUUACCCAUAUAAUUCUUUAUGUUUUUGUUUGAACAAGCCAAUUGAUGCUUCACCCACUAUACAAGAAAAGACGCAAGGAGGGCCGAAGGCAGAGGAUACCCACUGCCGUAACUUGGGCCCCCACUUUGCCAAUUAAGGCCGCAGGCUUUAUUGACAGAACAGGGGCGCGUAGUUUAUAGCGAAGCUUUCUUUUUUUCAAUGGAAAUCCCCAAAAAAUAUUUUUUGCUGCGAAAAGCAGCGCCCUCGAAGAUUGUAAAGAUUUAAGCUAAUCGAUGAUUUGUUUUUUUGGCGAAUAACGGGAAUCGAACCCGUGUUUUCAAAUUCACAAUCUGACACUUUAACCUAUUAAGUUAUACUCGCCCUUUUUUCCAAUUUAGACGACAUUAAAAUACUCGCUAUCGGAUUCGAACCGAUAACCCAUAGGAACAGAUUUUGAGACUGCCGUGUUUACCAUUUUCACCAAGCGAGUAUGCUCACUAUCGGACUUGAACCGAUAACCCAUAGGAACAGAUUUUAAGUCUGUCGUGUUUACCAUUUUCACCAAGUGAGCUGCCGGGAAGCGAAGCGCUGAAUGGAAACACAAUCUUUUUGUAAAGAAGAUAAUGCUUUUUUAGAAAAAAAUCAUAAAGUGCAAAGGUUAAAAUUUUGAGCUUUGUUUUACGUAGUUUUGCCAUCUAUAUAAUAGAAUAUAGUAAGAAAUAAUAAGUUGCCGAGGGCGCAGCAAAAUAUAUAUAAUAUAUAUAUAUUUUUUUUCAUUCUGUUGUUAAGUAAGGGGCGCUUGGAUGGUAACAUCCCAGGCCAACCUGGCUAAAAAUACUUAUGACAGGAUAAGAUACUAGUUACCUGUCUAAAAGUACUAAUCAAGGGUGUAAUUCCGAGAAAGACUGUUUCGUCCCUGAAAUGGAACUCUUCAGAACCCUUGUUAUCGGUUUACAGCCUAAGGAAAUUCCUGUGGUCGAGAAUCUACUUUGUCAGGUCGUGCUAUUGCUUACUUUUCAGUCGGCGUAGGCGAGUUACGAACUUCGCAUUAAUUUGCGAGUAAGAUAAUGUCGAUUAUCCAAUUCUAUGCCAAGGAGGAAGGUAGAGGUUAAUUCAAUGGUCGAAAGACAUCCAGGGAAAGAUAAGUCCGAUUAGCCAUUUGAUUCAAGCCUUUGCGCUACUGGGUUAAGCAAAGGUGACGUCACUUCGGAAGAUUCCAGGCUGGAUAACAAUUGAGUUCUAGAAAGUCGACCAAAUGUAAAGUAGCAAAAUAGGGGUGCACGUAAUUCGCUGAAUUCAUAAGUCCUAAUGAAGGCACUAGGAGAGUUUUCAUUCUCCGAUUCUGAAAAGCAUGGCCUUACGCGAGUAACUUACAGAUGCAAGCCUCUACGGCAAGAAGUCUUAAUAGAGUAGAUAGCGAGCUGAGCUAAACCAGCUAUCAGCAGUCAUUAAUUUCACAACUGGCAAGCCCGAAAGCAAGUAGAAUUACCCACUACUUGCUGGGGUGCUGCAAAUUUAAAGCGGCAGCGCCCCAGCCCCCUAUUUCCAUCGUCCUCGUCAAUCAAAUAAAGGCUUCGUUUAGCCAGGGGUCAUUCUUCCCCCCCGCUGAAUUGCUUCGCGAACAAAGUAGGAGAAAAAAAGAAAGAUUUUUUUUGUCCGCCUUAUUCUCUUUUAUUAUUUAAAUGGCCUCAUGAGCUUCUACAAAGACCAAUAAAGUGGUAACAGCAGCGUAGCCAAGCUUGUUCCGCCCGCUGUGCGCAAAAAAAGAGUUUUUUUCGGCACUUAGUAAAAGGAAUUUUUGGCACUCCUUGCAGAUGGUGAGUGGAUUACUAAUAAAAUGGAGUGAUCCGAGAUGACCUCUCUUUCAAUUUCAAUUAUGUCAUUAUAUAGUAAUGACAUGCGGCGAACUCUAUUGGAUGCGCCAAAAACUUAUUGGGCUGUGUCAAUUUAUUAACAUUGACAGAGCCUUCAUCUAAGUCUUGGCUUGUGCAGAUGUCGCCCAAAAUACAAUCAAUUAUCUACCCAAUCGACUGUAUUUUGGUCACAAUAAAAAAAAAUGAUUUAUGUAUGU